rnacentral:tRNA from 1 species
GAAAUAAAAAAUAUGUAAAGCUUCUAACUUUAUUUUUAAUGAAUUAAACUUCAUUUUAUUUCU